UGGGGACCAGGUGUUGUCACUCUUGGGUCACCGACAACAGACCAAGCCAAGGGCCACGGACCUGGCAGAGUUGCUUCAGUUCCACAACUGUUCCUACCUGUGGCCCCAAAGAUGUCUGUGUCUGGUCCCUGGCAGGCAACUCUGUGACCCCAGAUGGCAGAGGGGGCUCUGCAGAGGUGAUUAAGGUUAAGGGUUCUAAGAUGGGGAGAUUGCCCUGGGUUAUGCUGUGCGCCCAGUCUAAUCACAUGAGUCCUUCAAAGUGGAAGAGAGAGGUGGAAGAGAGGGUCAGAGAGACAGGACAGAAUGGAAAAGAGGGACUCGACCCACCAUUGCUGGCUCUGACGAUGGAGGGAGGGGCCACGGGCCAAGCAGUGCAGAGGCCUCCAGUUGCCCAGGACAGCCCUCGCCCACGGCCAGCACGGAAACGGGGACCUCGGCCCUACACCUGCAAGGAACCGAAUUCUGACAACUCAGAUGAGCAAGGAGACGGACCCUGGCCUGGAGCCUCCAGAAGGAAACAGCCCUGCUGACACCUGGAUCUUGGCCCAGUGUGACUGCUAGACGUCUGACCCCAGCACUCUGCCCGACAGUCGUCACAGAUAAUCAGUGAAAGCAGACCCAUGGUGCUCCCUUCCUGCCUGGCAUAAACCCUGAAGGCAAAGCUCUGAGCUGACUCCAGCAUAACUGGUGCAGCAUGAUGCUCGUGAGGGAACAGUGGACCUUUCAGUUUGAUAUUAAAAAAGGAGCAAUCCACGUCGACCCAAGGAUAAAAACCCAGAAAAUCUCAUGUGGGCAUCCGUCACCACUGUAUUAGCUGCUGCCUGUUGAGAGCAUCUGGGAAGUGUGGGCGGCUUUGCACGUGCCCCUCAUUUAUGCCAUUUGUGCCUGCCUCGUAGCACACCUCUGCAGGAGGCCUGGCUGUGACCUCUGCUUCAUGAGGGCCAAGCUGAGGUCACACAGCCAGUACAUCAUCGAGCCAAGACUCCAUGCCAGUUCUGGGAGCCACUGAUCAUUCACCAGAUAUGAGAACCUCCCACAUUAG